AAAUCUCCUCUCUUUUAGUUUGAAACCAUUUCCCCUUGUCCUAUCACAACAGCCCCUCCUUUAGAUUCUUAGAGGUCAUUAUCAGGUCACCUCAGAACCUUCUCAAGGCUGAACAGCCCCGGCUCUCUCAGCCUGACCUCAUAAAGGUGUUCUAUCCUUUGGAGCAUUUUUGUGGCCCCUCAUCUGGAUGCAUUCCAACAGGUCUGUGUCUCUCCUGUACUGAGAACUCCACAUCCAGAUACAGUACUCCAGGUGAGGUUUCACCAGCACAGAGCAGAGGGGCAGGAUCACCUCCCUUGAUCUGCUGGCCAUGCCUCUUUUGAUGAAGCCUAGGAUACAGUUGGCUUUCCAGGCUGUGAGAGCACACUGCUGUACAGCUUCCCAUCCACCAGUACCCCCAAGACCUUUUCAGCAGGGCAGUGCUCCACCUUUACAUUGCCAAGCUUGAACAGAUAGCAGGGGUUGCCACAACCCAGGUGCAAGACCUUGCCUUGAAUUUGUUGAAUCUCAGGAGAUUCACCUGGGCAUGAGCCUGUCUUAGUCUCUCUGGAUCGAAUCCUGUCCCUCGGCCAUGUCAGCCACACCACAGAGCUUGGUAUCAUCCACUAGCUUACUGAGAGUGCACUCGAUCCCACUGUUGAUAUAAUUGAUGAAGACGUUAAAGAGCACUGGUGCCAGUACCAACCCCUGAGGGACAUCACUUGUCACUGAUCUCUGUCUGGACCUUGAGCCAUUUCUGAGUAUGAUCUCAACCAGUUCCUCAUCCAUCAAACAGUUUACCCAUCAAAUCCACAUCUUUCCAAUUUGGGAAAGAAGGAUGUUGUUGGGUUGUAUGUCAAAGACCUUAACUAAAGUCCAGACAGAUGACAUCAGUGGUUCUUCACUUGUACACUGACAUAGUUAUGCCAUCAUAGAAGGCCACUAGAUUGGUCAGGUAGGACCUGCUCUUGGUGAAGCCAUGUUGGUUAUUCCAUAUCACCUCCCUCUCUUUCAUUUGCCUUGGUAUAGCUUUCAGGAGUAUCUGUUCCAUGCACUUCACUGCUUCAUGGGUGAUGCUGACAGCUCUGCAUGCAAAAUGUCUCCUGAACAAGACCAGGAACCUCCUGCUUGGAACAGAAGCCUCCUCUGACCCAGCUGCAUGCUGCUGCCAUUGGAAUGAUGUGGGAUACCGAGUGCUGUAUACAUUUCUGCCUAGAUUUUUCUGGACUGGGAGCCACGAGGAAAAGAAUUGGAUGAACAAGAAUGGCACUUGUGGGGAUAAAUCCAGUCCCUGGAGUGAGUAUCCCAAUCAGAAGGUAGUGAAGAAAUAAGCCUCAACUUCUGUCAAGAAAGCUGUCAGGACCAGGAGACAAUUAGAGCAGUAUCUUGGUCAAAGAAGGAACAUUUGGAAAGAUCUUCUAUGUCUUUUUUAGAUAGCAUGCAAAUUCCUGUUGUGGUAGGUCUCAUCUGGGAUCUGGCAGGGGGUAAAUGAGGCAGCAAGAAGGGGCCACAAUAGAUGAGUUCUGCUGGUUACUGCUGCUUGGCAUGGUGGAGUGUCCAUAGUGCCAGCUGAGUAGAUGGUAGCAUCGUGAGCCUUGAGGGAAUGAUGCUGGGGUUGGGCUUGCUGAAAAAGUCCAGGGUAAAAUGGAGCUGCAGGCAGGAUAAGUGAUGUGGUACCAGGAUGCCUUGCCAUAGCUUCCGAGCAAGGAUGUUAGAGUCAAAAAGAUACAGCUCCUGUAAAAGCCAAAAUCCCUAUUUACUGUUUUCUUUUUCCGAAGCAGAAAUUACAGCUGCUACAUCACUCUUUUCUCAAGGUCAGCAGCCAUCACUGCAAUCUUUCUGCCAUGAGCAAGAGUCACUGGGUAGUUCUUGCUACAGUACUGGGAAAUAAAGAGAAGGAAUAAUGUAAAUCAGGCUGAGUUAGCACCCUGUCACGACUGGCAGCAUUACCUGCCACCAUCCUCACCAGGAGAGGAGGGACAGGCACCAAACUGAUACACAACUCACAGGUUUGUGUUGUGGUUGGCUGUAGGUUUUCAUUAGACUUCAUGUGGACAUAUGGUCAUGUCGAGAGUUCUCUGUUAAGCAGGCCUAAAAAGACGUUUCCUUAUUUUAGGGAGAGUUUAGUGCUAGUGGAAUAUCAUUUGUACGUGGACCUAAGAUAAACAGGAGGAUAUCAAUUGCCCUAUAUCAAGUUUUGUUGUGCUAGAAUGCACAGCUUGUGAUUUGGCCCUAUUGCACAGAAUACCUAAAUGUGAAGAUUCUUUUUGGUUGGGAAAAUCCCUAGAUAUGAUGGAAGUGCAGUGCUCUGGUAACCUGUCAGAAAUGUCUUUGCAAGUGAAGGAUCACAGAGCACAAGGCAAACUCCACAGCUCCUGUCUCUUUUGCUUCCUGUCUCUGCAGCACUUAUUUAAACUGCAUUCUGCAACCCUUCCCUUGCUUUGGUCAUCUCACCCGGGAUCCUGGAGUAAAAGUAGGUUAAAAUGUGCAGGCAAGAAAAAUAUUUUGGAAAUAUAACUCAAUUACAAAGCACUAAAUGAGCAAGUUUAAAAGCUAGUGAGGAUAAAGAAAAUGUUCAGUAACCGAGAGAGUAACUGAGGUGGAAGCAGGGUAGCAGCAGUGAUUUUUACCUGAAACCCAAGGAAGCUGACCCCAAGCAUGUGGCUGCAUUGCAGAUAUAACCCCUAAUAGGCUUGGACAAGCAAAUAAGACCUUGCAGCAGUGAAAGAGCCCUAUUGUGAUUAUAUCAGCUUGUGGGAGCUUGAUGUCUGUUUUUUCUCAGCUGGGCUACACCUUACUGUGUUUUCCCCAGCAUAAAGCUCUUUCACUUAGGCUUAGUUCCAGUGCUCAAGAUUUCAGUGUAUUUUUAGCACGCUGUUUGUUUAUUAUCUGCCAUACAUUUCUUAUAUCUACAGAAGGGCAUGUUAAACAUGGGGCCUUCUGUCUAGAAUAGGUUUUGUUAAAUAACACAGCCAGUGCUUUUGUGCUUUCUGAUAACGUAGAGAGGGGAAACUUUCCUAGGAAUAAUAAAAAAGAAGAAAAUCUCUGAAUUUGGCUGUGUCUCAGCUAAUCCAAAAUGCUUGCAUUUAUUUGCUAAAUAAGGAAUUUCAGCACACAGAAUUACUUCAGUGUUUCUUUCUGUGGAGAGCAAUGUGAGUGAGCAUGUGUCCAUACAACACAUGCAGAAGACUGGUACAAUGACUCAUGUAGACAAAGGAAAAAAGAAGGAAGCUGACAAUGCAAGGGCUGAUAUUUAAAACAGCAGGGGCAUACAGUGAGCAUUCUUGUAGACUGGCCAUUAUUUAUUAAAUACAGAGUGAUUGGAGCUAUGCAAAAUAUAACGAGACAUGCUUCAAGGAAUUCACAGCCUAUUACAAACUCAGAAACAACAUUGGAAGCAUAUAAAGUACAUUAAGUGCUGGUACAAGUUAGCAGUAGCGAAGGAAUCUGGCUGAGGUCAUUGUUGAAAAGUAUUGUGAAAGGAGUGAGUUCAGAGGAGGAGGGGGGAAGUCAUCUGAGGUGAAAUUCUUUGGAAGACUGAAGUGGACCUGGCACCAGUUCCUCUGCGUGGGGUGGAUUUUAUCCCUGACACUGGAGAAAGAUGACUUCCCAUCUGAAGUGGCUGUCAGGGAGAGGAGGGCAAAGGAGAAGCAGGUUGAACUGGUGAGAAAGGGCAUAUGGCAGGACUUGUGGGUGAUUUUUGAAGGCAACGGAAGAAAAGAGAAGGUGGAAGGGGAAGAGGGGAAAAUAUGCAUACGUGGAACUACAAAAUAACUGACCUUGCCUUGGAGCUUGUCAAGAAACACUGUUUACAGGUGAUGCUGAGACGAUUCUCAGGAGUUCAUUCUCAGCUCAUUCUCAACUUUCAAUAUCUUCUGAAAUUUGGUAAAUUGUAAAUAAAGUACAAAUAAAGAAGGAGAAAGAUUCAUUUAAAUGGUAAAUUCACUACCCAAGUAUUGGCAUUCCUUAUUUCUAGAGGAGGGAUGUUGUAUGUUAAUUGAAACAAGAAUGCUUAUCUAUAGUCUGUGCCAUGGAGGUGAUUUGAAAAGGGGCCUUUCACUGUUGGGUUCCCCAGUAAUCCCUUGAAUAAACAUCCAGUGAACUCAGGCAUAAACGUGGGGAAAAAAACUGAGGAUUGUUGAGAGAGGAGAACAAAAAACUUUCUUUAAUACAUAAAUAAUUCUAAAAUAUGUAUUGCGGUAUUUGUGCACCAUUGGAUAAAAGGUCUAGUGUUCUUGGAAAUGCUUCUGGUGCCCAGGCCAACUCACAGCUAGAGUAUUUAGGUAUUUGCACAGAUAGCCAGGCAGAGCAGUGCGUACUGCUAUGCACUAUUAUAUAGACUGGCCUUGAGAGUUUAGCAGAGAAGUGAAUGUCAUCUGGAUCUGAAAAAUGAGCAGUAGCGAGGUAAAAUCAGGAAAGGCUACAUGAAGUAAGCUGACUCCAAGUCCCUGAGUGCUCCCUUUGUUUAUGCUGCUUUUAGCUAGCAGAGAUGUGUCGUCUGGUGUGUGGGUGGUCCCUGCACUGUAACCCAAGGCUAGCUUUUACUUAGUGCUGACACUGCCAUCUUAUUGCUGCAAAUGGAAGAAAAAAAAAUGUAAUGAGACUUUCUACCAGUGAAUUUUGGGGAAUUUUCAUAAUUUCUGGUUGCAAGGAACAAGAAAAUGACAAAAUGCAGCUGACACAGUUGUUGGCAGGUUUUCAAGCCAACCAUGGUUUUACACAGAGCCUGAUGAAGUAGAUGACUUUAGCAUCUAUAUAACUUGUGAAUGGACCUAUACACGCCUUCUUUCCUUCUAUAGUACAGUGUGCUCACUGCAUCUGCUCACAUACAGAAGAGCCAAGCAGCUACAAGUAGAAGAUGAGCCUCGUUGUUCACUACAACAAACAGAGAAAAGGGGGAAGAUGGUUUUUCUUCAGGUCUUCAGGCCAUAUAUUUCAGGAAAAAAUUCUUUGUUCUUUCUUAACUGACCUAAGAACCCCUUCUGGCCUUUAGAUUGCAUUUAGGUGUGAUGGUUGGGACUAGAUGAUCUUAAUGGUCUUUUCCAGUCUUAAUGAUUCCAUGAUCCUAUACAAAUUAGGGUAAAUUGCAUGUUGUUCAUCAGGUAUUAUAUUAAUUCAGUGAAAUUAACCAUCUUAACAAAAAAAAAGUGCUUUUACCAGCUGUCUCUCACAGGUUUCUUACACAUUUUCCAGGGAUGCUCAGAAUCCCUAUGGCCCCAAGUGGAAAAUGUAAGAUGUAGAGGGACAGUCUCUAAUGAGUAUUCAUGUUCUAUGAGUAAAAGAUGCAGGAAUACUUGAUGAGAGGAAAUAUUUUGAAACAAUUUAGAUUUAAUUGUAUUCCAGAUGACUUUUCACCUGUUUAACACACUAGUUAAUGUAAAUAUAUCUUCUAUGUUUCUCCUCAGCAAAAUCUGUUUAGAACAACCUACACAGAUCUGGAAACACAGUGCUGCACUUGGGGGAGAAAAAUUGCAUCUGUGGACUGCUGUCCCUGCCAGAUUACAGGAGUUUAUUACUCUUAGGGGAAAGCUUAAUAGUCUGUUAAUUGAGAAGACAGAAGAUCUUUUACACUUGGCUGCACACUAUUAUUAGGAGCAUUGCAAUAAAGGGAGCAAAGCUUACCCUACAUAUUCAAGCAAAGUUUUGCAAAAUAUGCUUAAUAGGAUAGUGAUGCAUUAUCCAUGCUAUGGUAACGUGGUUCUCUUCAGAGUACAAAAGGCCUCGUGGUAAUAAAAGCAUUGAUUACAGUCAGGGUUCUGUUGUGUGAGGACUGAUGCUAUGAGAAGAGCUGUGGUGGUUCUCAUGGUUCUGACUUUAUCCACAGGUUGCAGAGUUGUAACUCUCUUACACCAUUGUGGCGUAAAGUUAGGCCUAACUUGCACAAAAUUACCAACUUAUCCAAAAUCUUGCUGCUCUUUAAACUUUGAAUCCAGGCUGCCAAUUUGGAGUGAAAGCUGAGUUCCUUAAAGGCAUGAGAUAAUUUGUUCCAAGGUUUUGUCACUUUGUGUGCAGGCAAAACUGCUGCUGCUGUUCAGUGUGAUCUAAUGUUACCAUGAUUCACACAUAGUAGCACUGGUACCAUGACAACU